rnacentral:misc_RNA from 1 species
AAUUUCUUCAUUGCUGUUUUAACCAUAAUCCUAGUAUCCAAAAUUUCUUCCAACAAGCGAGGUAAUACCCCCUUCUGGACCCUGGGAGGCAUAUACAUAACACCAUUUGGAGUGAGCAAUAUUUCGUCCUUUAAAUUAUGCAUCACAUUUGUAUCAGGUGAAUAUGAACUAACCCCGAGGAUAUUAGCAUUCGUAGAAGUAACUUUACCAAGGCAAGUACAGAAACAGAGGUUAUAUGCAAUUAUCAUUGAUGGAUA